AUACUUAUGUGGUAGGGGAGAUACCAUGAUCACGGAGAUGGUUUUCCCAGGAUGAGGUUUAUCUGUUGUACAGUGUGUGUGCUGAGUUCUGUGAUUUCCCCAAAUGCGGGAAACUUGACUGCAUAAUUUGUGAUAGUGGAAGAUUGCGUGCGUGUUCUCCUCUG